ACUCAAAUGAAUAGACGGGGGCUCACACAAGCGGUGGAGCAUGUGGCUUAAUUCGAGGCUACGCGCAAAACCUUAUCCCGGGCUUGACAUGCACGGAUUAGCCGGCGGAAACGUCGGUGACGCGCAAGUGGAACGUGCACAGGUGCUGCAUGGCUGUCGUCAGCUCGUGUCGUGAGAUGUUGGGUUAAGUCCCGUAACGAGCGCAACCCUUGUGUCCAGUUGCCAACAGGUCAAGCUGGGGACUCUGGACAGACCGCCGGCGUUAAGCCGGAGGAAGGCGGGGAUGACGUCAAGUCCUCAUGGCCCUUAUGCCCGGGGCUGCACACGUGCUACAAUGGGGCGGACAAAGCGAAGCCAAGCCGCAAGGCCGCGCCAAUCGCAAAAACCGCUCCUCAGUUCGGAUUGCGGGCUGCAACCCGCCCGCAUGAAGCUGGAAUCGCUAGUAAUCGCGGAUCAGCAUGCCGCGGUGAAUGGGUUCCUGAGCCUUGUACACACCGCCCGU
rnacentral:rRNA from 1 species